rnacentral:rRNA from 1 species
GACGAACGCUGGCGGCGUGCUUAACACAUGCAAGUCGAACGAAGUGGCGAACGGGUGAGUAACGCGUAAUCAACAUGCCCUUCUGCGGGUGAUAACAGUUGGAAACGACUGCUAAUACCGCAAACUGACGGAGGAGCUUGCGUCGGAUUAGCUAGUUGGAGGGGUAACGGCCCCACAAGGCGAUGAUCAGGAGCCGGUCUUAGAGGUUGAACGGCCACAUUGGGACUGGGACCCGGCCCAGACUCCUACGGGAGGCAGCCGUGGGGAAUCUUCCGCAAUGGACGAAAGUCUGACGGAGCAACGGCGCGUGAGUGAUGACGGCUUUCGGGUUGGAAAGCUCUGUUAAUCGGGACGCGGUACCGGAAUAGAAAGCCACGGCUAACUACGUGCCAGCAGCCGCGGUAAUAC